GUUGAAACACCAGUUUCUGUACGAGCAUCAAAGUUAAGCAAUGUUGAGUCUGGUUAGUACCUAGAUGGGUGACCACUUGGGAAUAUCAGAUGCUGUAA